CCAGCAGCCGCGGUAAUACGUAGGGCGCAAGCGUUGUCCGGAAUUAUUGGGCGUAAAGAGCUCGUAGGCGGUUUGUCGCGUCUGCUGUGAAAGCCCGGGGCUCAACCCCGGGUCUGCAGUGGGUACGGGCAGACUAGAGUGCAGUAGGGGAGACUGGAAUUCCUGGUGUAGCGGUGAAAUGCGCAGAUAUCAGGAGGAACACCGAUGGCGAAGGCAGGUCUCUGGGCUGUUACUGACGCUGAGGAGCGAAAGCAUGGGGAGCGAACAGGAUUAGAUACCCUGGUAGUCCAUGCCGUAAACGUUGGGCACUAGGUGUGGGGGACAUUCCACGUUUUCCGCGCCGUAGCUAACGCAUUAAGUGCCCCGCCUGGGGAGUACGGCCGCAAGGCUAAAACUCAAAGGAAUUGACGGGGGCCCGCACAAGCGGCGGAGCAUGCGGAUUAAUUCGAUGCAACGCGAAGAACCUUACCAAGGCUUGACAUUCACCGGACCGCCCCAGAGAUGGGGUUUCCCUUCGGGGCUGGUGGACAGGUGGUGCAUGGUUGUCGUCAGCUCGUGUCGUGAGAUGUUGGGUUAAGUCCCGCAACGAGCGCAACCCUCGUUCUAUGUUGCCAGCACGUGAUGGUGGGGACUCAUAGGAGACUGCCGGGGUCAACUCGGAGGAAGGUGGGGAUGACGUCAAAUCAUCAUGCCCCUUAUGUCUUGGGCUUCACGCAUGCUACAAUGGCCGGUACAAAGGGUUGCGAUACUGUGAGGUGGAGCUAAUCCCAAAAAGCCGGUCUCAGUUCGGAUUGAGGUCUGCAACUCGACCUCAUGAAGUCGGAGUCGCUAGUAAUCGCAGAUCAGCAACGCUGCGGUGAAUACGUUCCCGGGCCUUGUACACACCGCCCGUCAAGUCACGAAAGUUGGUAACACCCGAAGCCGGUGGCCUAACCCCUUGUGGG
rnacentral:rRNA from 1 species